GGCCAAAUGGAAGGUUACAAUGGGCCAACUUUGGCCCACGGGCUCUACUUUGGGUGUCUCUGCAUUAUAGAAUAAAUAUAGUUCAGUAAUAUCUAGUAAGUUUAAAAUGAAAAGCUAGAAAAAUCUAGUAAAUUUAGAGAAACUCAGUUUUCAAGGUGUCUUUUAAAUUUUUUUCUCAAUUAAGUUUUUAACGAAUUUGUUAAAAAUGUGUACUUUCACGCUCAAAUUUCAUAAUAGUUAGUAGUUUGCCUUGUGUUGUUUUCUGCACUCACAAAUUAAUUUUAAAUGCACUACAAAAAAUGUGAUUUUUUUUUUAGAUUUGGUUUUUUAACACGCUGUAAAUGGUAGACUAAUCACAACGGCCAUCUGAUUGGCCAUCUGACCAAUCAGAGCAGAGCAGGCACUUGGAAAGGCGGAGCUGUAGAGACAGAAUCCUUUAACCAACUGUUUCAGACACUGAGAGAAAAGAGCUGACACUGCAUUGGAUAUUAUGAGAUAAGUACAGUAUAUUUUGAUCUUGGAUAGCUGUGAAUCUAUUGUAGGACACGUCUAAAAGGAGUUAGGAACUUUUAAAAUAGCAUAAUAGGGCCACUUUAAAAAGUGUUUUUGCCCAUUAGACUGCCAGAGCUCAUUAAUGUUAACUCAAACAUACAAUUAUCCUCUCUGUGUGUUCUAAAAGGGAAAACCGCUUUCUACAGACAGCAUAAUGACAAUGCUGGUCGAGAUGCACAUGAAACCGGUUACUCUCACAGAAAGGACAUUUCUUUUAGUCCCACAUUAUUAGUUCCUCUCAGCGGGUCUGCAGAUGUCAGCAGAGAUGUGGUCAGCCUCUCCAGACGCUCGCUGUCAUUUCACACAAUUGCUGCCAGUUGAGGCUGCCAAAGAGCCAUUUCAAAAAAUUCAAUCAUACACCAAGUCCAAAUGCAUUAGGAAAGAGCUGCGUUAUGAUGUUUGUCAUUUUCAGACCCUGCAUGGGACAUGAUUUUGGAAGUUACUCUGGCCCUGAUAGCAUUGCCAAGAUGUCCAUUUCAAGAUUUCCGUAGUGAAUAAUAAUCCUCUUCCACCGUCUGAUGGUGUCCUGCUUGGCUCACAGAAGAUGGAAAGAUGUCUCCAUAUGGCGUGGUCUGGUGUCCUGGGUGUGGAAGGGCACGUCUUUGUCAUGCUGUCGUUCUCAGAGAAAGGCAGAUCCUGGGAAUGCCCGUGUGCCGUGGGUUCCCGUCGUCAUGUGCCACUGUACCCGCUGACCUGAUCACGUCAAUCCUGACAUUGUUCUAGGUUUUGCUGCUGCGUCGUCGUGGAAACGUUACUGACAUCAGGGCUGCACAUUCCACGCUUGUCUUAAUAAAGUCCAAUCGCAAUAAACCUGAACCAAUUACAUGCACAGCCAGAUGGACUGAGCUCAGCGGAGGGGAUCCACCUGGAGGCUGAUGGCAUCCGGCGCUUCGGGGUCACACUGAAAAACAUCACCACUGUCAGCUUUUUAUGGGAGAUUUUUCAGGUCGAAUCUCACUGGUGAAUCAUUAAUCUGACCUGCCAAAACAAGAACAGCAAAUCUGACAGAAAUGAUGGUUUUCUAACUUCAUUUACUUUAUAUGCUUGUAAAAAGAUUUUCGAAUCAGUUUUGAUGUACGGCAUGAAGUGUGAUUCACUUUACAUUUACAUUUAGUCAUUUAGCCGACGCUUUUAUCCAAAGCGACUUACAAAUGAGGACAAGGA